AGUUGGUUCAAUCGAACCAACUAAACCGAUAUAACCCCAACCCUAACCCUUACCCAACCCUAACCUGCUGCCGCUGCCGAUCCCGAUCCCGAUCCCGAUCGCGAUCUCGCUGCUCGUCGCUCCUGCUCCCGCUGCCGCUGCUCGCCGCUGUCGCUGCUCGCGCCUCCCGCGAGCCUUCCCGCUGCUCGCGCCUCCCGCUGCUCGUGCCUCCCGCGAGCCCUCCCGCUGCUCGCGCCUCCCGCGAGCCCUCCCGCGAGCCUUCCCGUUGCUCGCGCCUCCCUCGAGCCCUCCCGUUGCUUGCGCCUCCCGCGAGCCCUCCCGCUGCUCGUGCCUUCCGCUCCCUUUCCCUUUCCCGCUGUCGCUGUCGCCGCUCGCCGCUGCUGUUGCCGUCGCUCGCCGCUGCUGCUGCCGCCUCUCGCCGCUGCUUCCUCGUUUCUCCAUCAGGCUCAGUAUACAGUAUACUCUUAAUAUUAAGUUUAUUAGAAUUUUGAAAUGAUUAAUUUUCUGUUAAUAGAUUAAUAAUAUAUUAUUUUGAUUUUAAUGUUGUUAAUUUUUAUUUAUUUGAAAUUAUUAAUUAUAUUAUAUAUUUUUAUAUUUUAGCGCCUCGCUUCGCUCGGGCGAGCGCCUGGGCGAGCGCCUAGCGCCUCGGGCGUUUGUGGACCUUGGCGCCUUUUGGCGCCUAGCGUUUUUUAAAU
rnacentral:lncRNA from 1 species